UUGUUGUGAAUCUGAGGAAAGCUGUUUUGACCACCUGCCGGGACCUGAGCGGAGAGCGAGGCGAACUUGGAAUCCGCGCCAUGGAUGCAGUGACCUAUGAAGAUGUGCAUGUGAACUUCACCAAAGAAGAGUGGGCUUUGCUGGAUUCUUCCCAGAAGAGUCUCUACAAAGAUGUGAUGCUGGAAACAUGCAGGAACCUCAUUGCUAUAGGAAUAAUAUCUGUCUUUGUGGACCUCAGCCUUGUGAGUAUCAGGGAUAUGGAAAGAAGCAAUGUAUUGUUGCAAGUAACAGUGUUCUUCAAACUUAUGGAAGAGUCCAUACUGAAGAGAAAUCCUGUAAAUCUAAUCAGUGCAGUAAACCCAUUGCAAAUUUUAAUAGUCUUCAGCAACAUGAAAAAAGUCAUAGUAGAAGAAAAUUCUAUGAAUGCAAUCACUGUGGUAAAGCUUUUCCAAGUCGAAGUUCUCUUCAAGUACACGAAAGAACUCAUACAGGCGAGAAACCUUAUGGGUGCAAUGAAUGUGGUAAAGCCUUUUCAACUCGCAGUCAUCUUCAAAUACACCAAAGAACUCACACUGGAGAGAAACCCUAUGAUUGCAGUCAAUGUGGUAAAGCAUUUGCAAGUAAAGGUAAUCUUCAAAUACACCAAAGAACUCACACAGGAGAGAAACCAUAUUGUUGCAAUGAAUGUGGUAAAGCCUUUGCUACUCACAAUAAUCUUCAAAUACAUGAAAUAAUUCAUACUGGAGAAAAACCCUAUGAAUGUAAUGAAUGUGGUAGAGCCUUUGCAUACAGCAGAGCUCUAG